rnacentral:tRNA from 1 species
GCCAUCGUGGCGCAAUGGUAGCGCAUCACCUUCCUACGGGGACUGAGCGCCGUGAAGCCAAAGUCACGUGCAGGUGGGGGUUGCGGGUUCGAUCCCCGUCGGUGGUA